rnacentral:rRNA from 1 species
GACGUAGGGCGCGAGCGUUGUCCGGAUUUAUUGGGCGUAAAGAGCUCGUAGGCGGCUUGUCGCGUCGACUGUGAAAACCCGCGGCUCAACCUCGGGCCUGCAGUGGGUACGGGCAGACUAGAGUGCGGUAGGGGAGAUUGGAAUUCCUGGUGUAGCGGUGGAAUGCGCAGAUAUCAGGAGGAAUACCGGUGGCGAAAGCGACUCUCUGGACGGUUACUGACGCUGAGGCACGAAAGCGUGGGGAGCAAACAGG